rnacentral:rRNA from 1 species
AAUACCCGAUAGCAUAAUGAUUCCGCAUGGUUUCAUUAUUAAAGGAUUCCGGUAAAGGAUGGGGAUGCGUUCCAUUAGGUUGUUGGUGAGGUAACGGCUCACCAAGCCUUCGAUGGAUAGGGGUUCUGAGAGGAAGGUCCCCCACAUUGGAACUGAGACACGGUCCAAACUCCUACGGGAGGCAGCAGUGAGGAAUAUUGGUCAAUGGGCGCUAGCCUGAACCAGCCAAGUAGCGUGAAGGAUGAAGGCUCUAUGGGUCGUAAACUUCUUUUAUAUAAGAAUAAAGUGCAGUAUGUAUACUGUUUUGUAUGUAUUAUAUGAAUAAGGAUCGGCUAACUCCGUGCCAGCAGCCGCGGUAAUACGGAGGAUCCGAGCGUUAUCCGGAUUUAUUGGGUUUAAAGGGAGCGUAGGUGGACUGGUAAGUCAGUUGUGAAAGUUUGCGGCUCAACCGUAAAAUUGCAGUUGAUACUGUCAGUCUUGAGUACAGUAGAGGUGGGCGGAAUUCGUGGUGUAGCGGUGAAAUGCU